rnacentral:rRNA from 1 species
UACGUAGGGGGCAAGCGUUGUCCGGAUUUAUUGGGCGUAAAGAGCGUGUAGGCGGCUAGGUAGGUCCGUUGUGAAAACUCGAGGCUCAACCUCGAGACGUCGAUGGAAACCAUCUAGCUAGAGUCCGGAAGAGGAGAGUGGAAUUCCUGGUGUAGCGGUGAAAUGCGCAGAUAUCAGGAAGGACACCCGUGGCGAAGGCGGCUCUCUGGUACGUGACUGACGCUGAGACGCGAAAGCGUGGGGAGCGAACAGG